GAUGAACGCUGGCGGCGUGCCUAAUACAUGCAAGUCGAGCGAACAGAUGAGAAGCUUGCUUCUCUGAUGUUAGCGGCGGACGGGUGAGUAACACGUGGGUAACCUACCUAUAAGACUGGGAUAACUCCGGGAAACCGGGGCGAAUACCGGAUAAUAUCUUGAACCGCAUGGUUCAAUAGUGAAAGGCGGUUUCGGCUGUCACUUAUAGAUGGACCGGCGCCGUAGUAGCUAGUUGGUAAGGUAACGGCUUACCAAGGCGACGAUACGUAGCCGACCUGAGAGGGUGAUCGGCUACACUGGAACUGAGACACGGUCCAGACUCCCACGGGAGGCAGCAGUAGGGAAUCUUCCGCAAUGGGCGAAAGCCUGACGGAGCAACGCCGCGUGAGUGAUGAAGGUCUUCGGAUCGUAAAACUCUGUUGUUAGGGAAGAACAAAUUUGUUAGUAACUGAACAAGUCUUGACGGUACCUAACCAGAAAGCCACGGCUAACUACGUGCCAGCCGCCGCCGUAA
rnacentral:rRNA from 1 species